GUGAAUGUACUCUUUAUGAGGCUUUGCGCUGCCCUUGUGGCAGCUAGCCGAAGGUUUCGCAAGAAGCCGAUGUCAAUUUGAAUCCUUUUUAAAAUACGACUGAUCAAAACUGCAGAUAGAAAUAUCUGCAUGCAAUUGAAAUACAACUUUCAACAGUGGAUGUCUAGGCUCGCACACCGAUGAAGAACGCUGCGAACUGCGAUACGUAAUGCGAAUUGCAGAAUUCAGUGAGUCAUCAAAAUUUUGAACGCAUAUUGCACUUCCGGGUUAGUCCUGGGAGUAUGUUUGUAUCAGUGUCCGUGAACACAAACUUGUUUCAUUUCUUGAUUGGGAUGGAGCAGACUGUGAAGGUCUUGUAAUUACAAGUCCUUUUAAACGACGGUACCUAUGCGUCCUAGUGAGAUGUAUUAUUUAAAGGUAUGCCUGCGCUCCUUUCGAAAGUCUUGUGUGGCGGCACACAGCACUCAAAGAGAGAGCAAAUCGCGGUAGUUUUGCUUGUACUUCGGUACGAGUGGACACAUAUUGCUUUUUGUGAUUUCUGCGAGUCUGUUGUCAAAGUACAAGGCACGUAAGGAGAGUUGGUAUGCUGGUGCAUUUCUUGGCGUAUGGAGGCAAAUUGGGAAUUCAAUCCA
rnacentral:misc_RNA from 1 species